rnacentral:tRNA from 1 species
GCGGGAUUAGUAUAAUGGUUAUUAUGUCUGCCUUCCAAGCAGAAUAUGAGGGUUCGAUUCCCUUAUUCCGCU